AUUGAACGCUGGCGGCAGGCCUAACACAUGCAAGUCGAACGAGUGGCGGACGGGUGAGUAAUGUAUGGGAAACUGCCUGAUGGAGGGGGAUAACUACUGGAAACGGUAGCUAAUAGCGCAUACCAUCGGAUGUGCCCAGGUGGGAUUAGCUAGUUGGUUGGGUAAAGGGUCACCUAGGCGACGAUCCCGAGCUGGUCGGAGAGGAUGACCAGCCAAACUGGAACAUAGACACGGUCCUGACUCCUACGCGAGGCCGGAGGGGAGAAUAUUGCACUAUGGGGGCAAGUCUGAUGAAGCCAUGCCGCGAGUAUGAAGAAGGAAUCCAGGUUGUCAAGUACUUUCAGUGGGGCGGCGUUAGCCGAAGAAGAAGCGCCGGCUAACUCCGUGCCAGCAGCCGCGGUAAUUC
rnacentral:rRNA from 1 species